UACGUAGGGGGCAAGCGUUGUUCGGAAUUACUGGGCGUAAAGCGCACGUAGGCGGCUUUGCAAGUUAGAGGUGAAAGCCCGGGGCUCAACUCCGGAAUUGCCUUUAAAACUGCAUCGCUAGAAUUGUGGAGAGGUGAGUGGAAUUCCGAGUGUAGAGGUGAAAUUCGUAGAUAUUCGGAAGAACACCAGUGGCGAAGGCGACUCACUGGACACGUAUUGACGCUGAGGUGCGAAAGCGUGGGGAGCAAACAGG
rnacentral:rRNA from 1 species